rnacentral:rRNA from 1 species
GGGGGAAAAUUAAUGAAAUAAAUAUAAUAAAAGAAUUUUUAAUGUUAAUAAAUUUAAUGGGGGUUAAAGUAUAGUUAAUAGAAAAAAAUUAAAAAAUUUAUAGGGGAGAAGUAUUGUAUAAGAAAUUUGAAAUAUAUGAAAAGAAAAUAAUAAAAAAGUAAAUUUAAUUUAUUGUAUCUUGUGUAUCAGAGUUUAUUAAUAAAAUUUUAUAAUUAUAAAUUUCUCGAAUUUAAAAGAGUUAAUUAAUUAUAAAAGUUAAUGUGGAAAAAUUAUUUUAAAUAAUUAAUUUGAAAUGAAAUGUUAAUCGUUUUUAAAUAUAUCUAGUUUUUUUAGAAAAAAAUUAAAUUUUAAAUUUAAAAAAAAAAUAAUUUUUUUUAAAAAAUUAUUUUUUUUUAAAUUAAAUAUUUUAAGGGAUAAGCUUUAUAAUAAAUUUUUAUAAUAAUUGGUUUUAUAUUUAAAAUUUUUAGAAUUUAUAUUGUUAAUAAAUUAUAAUUUUUUACAAAUAAUUUUAAAUAUUUUAAAAUUUAAUUAAUAAUUUAAAUUUUUAUAAAAAAAAAAUUAAUAAAAUAAAAUUAGUUAUAAUGAUAAAAUUAGUAUAUAAAAUUAAUUUUUUAAAUAAAAUUUUAAUUUAUUAUAAUUUUAUAAAAGGAAUUCGGCAAAUAUUUAUAUUCACUUGUUUAUCAAAAACAUGUCUUUUUGAUAAUAAUUUAAAGUCUAAUCUGCCCACUGAUAAAUAUUAAAGGGCUGCAGUAUUUUGACUGUACAAAGGUAGCAUAAUCAUUAGUCUUUUAAUUGGUGACUUGUAUGAAAGAUUUGAUGAAAUAUAAACUGUCUCUUAAAAAUUUAUAUAAUUUAAUUUUUUGGUUAAAAAGCUAAAAUAUUUUUAAAAGACGAGAAGACCCUGUAGAGUUUUAUAAUUUUAAUAUUUUUAAUUUUAUAUUUAAAUUUAAAUUAAAAAAGUGAAAAUUAUUUUGUUGGGGUGAUAGAAAAAUUAAAAAAACUUUUUUUUAAAAUUUUACAUUAAUAUAUGAUUAAAUGAUCCGUAAUUUACGAUUAAAAGAAAAAAUUACCUUAGGGAUAACAGCGUAAUUUUUUUUUUUAGUUCAAAUAGGAAAAAGAGUUUGCGACCUCGAUGUUGGAUUAAGAUAAAAUUUAAAUGCAAAAGUUUAAAAGUUUUGAUCUGUUCGAUCAUUAAAAUCUUACAUGAUCUGAGUUCAAACCGGUGUAAGCCAGGUUGGUUUCUAUCUUUAAUUAAUUAAAAUAUUUUAGUACGAAAGGAUUGAGUAUUUAAAAUAAUUUUAUAAAAAGAAUAUUAAUAAUAAAUUAAUUAAAAU